ACACAUUAAACGCAGCGUUUUGUAUAUGAAUAUGUGGGUGGCCCCACACUGGUGUAAAAGUUUUGCACUUCUUACAGAAGUUUCCAACUUACAAGUGAAUGUUUAUAAGAAAAGGUAAAGACCCUUUUUGUUUUAAUGUGUAUAUAAAGAGAAAUCUUGGGAAGCUUGAGAAAUCAAGUGAUGAUCUUCCCAUUCGUCUCUGUACGUCUCUGGUGUUGUUCUCUUCCUCACACCAGUCGUUAAAUACAUCUCUUUCCUCCACUCCUCUGUUCCUGGGCAUCCACAUUGCGUAGCCAACCAAUCAUUGUACUCAAACUGUUAAACAAGAACCAAAAGUAAUCGUUAAUGUAUGUUCUGUUCAGUUUCUGAGUAGUAUUAUAAGUCAAAAGAGAAAGUGACAUGCUUACUUGGGCAAUGCCCAUACGGUGAGUAUAUCGCUUUUGAAUCCCUUGAGCUUCAAGCGUUGCAUACAAGGAUUUGAUAUCCUCCAUCAUAUCAUCCUUUGAUGGAAGCAUAAUCCGACCCGACAAAACACCCGCUAUCCACUUGCUUUGCAGCUCAAACAAAGGAAAUGGUACAACCUGAAAAUUCAAUUUGUUACGGAUGAUUGAGAACAGAACAUGGAAAAUUUGAAGUUUGUUUUUGAACUGUGUUUACCUGCCAUGGUAUCCCGAUGAAGGAGAGCCACGGUGCUAAUUCUGGAGGGAAGACAUGUUUGUACAAUGGACCGACACGGUUAUCAUCUACGGUAACACUUCCAUUGGUUUCAAGAAACGGGAAGUGAUACUUGUACCCAGUGCAAUGCAUGAUAACAUCAACCAAAAUCGUUUGCCCGUUUUGAAAAACUACAGAACCAUCCUUAUUGACACGCUCAAUCUGCGUUGAGAUUCAAGAAAACGUGUUGAAUGUUACUUCUAUUGAUCAACCAAUUGUUGUUAGUACUACUUGAAAGUUAAACCCAACCAUUGAAUGCAUCCACAGGUUAAUGUAACCGGGUUGUUUGAUAUAGGUAUCCGCUGGAUUUGACCUACCAGCCACAUGAACCUCUUUGGCGUGUCCAGCAAUGUCUCUACUUAUAUCAACAGCACUUGCAGAGUUCCCAAUAAGAACAACGACCUACAUAACCAAUGCAUCACAAGCUUCCACAUGAGUUAUGGCUUUACAUGAUCUUUCAUUGACAUUAUAAUGAUCAUUCUGAAAUGAGUACCUGGUCUUUAAAAGGUUCAGGGGUACGAUAGUUAUGGCUAUGCAUCUCCUUCCCUGGCCAAGAACUUAUCCCUGAAACACGUAACACACUCUAAGCUAUUUAAAAUCAAGAUGUUGAAAUCAUAAACAUUGUAAGGCGAGAAACACAACUAAGCUCAUCACUAAAGCUUAUGUUCCACUCUUCUACAUGAUACAAUAAUCAAAGAGAAAGAAUUCGCUGACAUGAUAUCCGUAUCAGCAAAAUGAGAUGAUAUAGCCGUUGAUGUAGCAGUUGGUAUAUGAUUUCGCCAAAAGUAAUAAGAUAAAUGAUAUUUAAAUUUUCUCAAAAUUUAUGUAUUUAUUUACACGAUGGUAUGCUUGUUUUAUAAGUUAAACAUAUAACAAUAUGUUAGACGGGGUUUUUUACCCCUUUGCUUUAUGAGUGAUCCAAAGUUGUACAAUUGCUUCUUCUUUUUUAAUAUAUCACGACAAUAAUUGAGGUCUAGAACAUCUUUCCAAAGAAAAACUUACAUAUUACAAGUGAGUGUAUAUAAAGAGAAAUCUUGGUAAGCUUGAGAAACCAAGUGAUGAUCUUCCCACUCGUCUCUGUACGUCUCUGGAUGCGCUUUCUUCCUCACUCCAGUCGUCAAAUACAUCUCUUUCCUCCACUGCUCUUUUUCUGAGCAUCCGCAUUGCGAAGCCAACCAAUCAUUGUACUCAAACUGUUAAACAAGAACCAAAAAAGUCGUUAAUAUGUUUCUGUUUGUUUUCUGAGCAGAAGCAUAAGUUAAAAGAGACAUUCUUACUUGGGUACGGUGGGUAUAUCUUUUUGGAAUCCCCUGAGCUUCAAGUGUUGCAUAGAAGGAUUUGAUAUCCUUCAUCAUAUCUUCCUUUGAUGGAAGGAUAAUCCGACCCGACAAAACACCAGCGAUCCACUUGCUUUGCAGCUCAAACAAACGAAAUGGUGAAACCUGAAAAUUCAAUUUGUUACAGAAAAUAGGGAAAAUGUUAAGUUGGUUUAGUGGCGUUCUAUAUUUGUGUUACCUGACUUGGUAUCCCGAUGAAGGAGAGAUACGGUGCUAAUGCUGGAGGAAAGACAUCUUUGUACAAUGGCCCCACACGGUUAUCAACUACAGUAACACUUCCAUUUGUUUCAAGAAACGGGUAGUGAUACUUAUACCUUUGAGAAGAAGGAAAGAACCACUUUUAAAAAGUUUCACAAAAAUAGCCAAAUAGUGAAAGAACAAAUGAGUUUAUAUACCCAGUGCAAUGCAUAAUAACAUCAACCAAAAUCGUUUUCCCGUUCUGAAAAUCCACAGAACCAUCCUCAUGGACACGAUCAAUCUGCGUGAGAUUCAAGAAAACGUUAAGAAUUUUAUUCUCUUGAUCAACGAACUGUGGUAGGUAAGUAGUACUCUACUUAUGAGUUAAACCAACCAUUGAAUGCAUCCACAGGUUACUGUAACCGGGCUGUUUGAUAAAGGUAUCAGCUGCAUUUGACCUACCAGCCACAUGAACCUCUUUGGCAUGUCCAGCAAUGUCUCUACUUAUAUCAACAGCACUUGCAGAGUUCCCAAUAAGCACAACAACCUAUAUAAUCAAUGCAUCACAAGCUUCUAAAUGAUCUUUUACUGACAUGAAUGUGAUCAUUCUGAAAUGAGUACCUGAUGUUUAAAAGGUUCAGGGAUACGAUAAUUAUGGCUGUGCAUCUCCUUCCCUGGCCAAGAACUUAUCCCUGUAAAUAUAUCCCGAGAAAAUCACAAUCAAGAGUAUAAUUCAAGCGUGUGUUCCCUAACAAGCCAAGCUAUUCAAGAUUAGGCAUGGGUCUAGGUUAGGGUUUGGAUCGAGUUUUUAGAUUUUCGGUGGGUGAGCCUCCUAAUUCCCACAUAUUUUGUAUAUGAGCGGUCGAAGUUGGUUAAUAACACUUCAUUCAUAUUUGGAUAAUUUCAAGGAACGUGUAAAACUCAUUUGGAUUCGACUAAUAAAUCCCUAAUAAACUUCAGAUUAUGGUAUUUUUAUAGUUCAUAGCAUCUUCUACUCACUGAUGUUUUUACCUUUGUAAUAGCAUUUAUAGACAAUUUUACUCAAACUCAUUAUUGUUAUUUCUUUCUCUAAAAUAGAAAUUAUUAUUUUUGCAGAAAAGAAAUAGCAACCUCCAUUUUUAAGAUAUAUUUAUAUCAGUGAUAUUAUAGAAAAAUACAUUAGAGCAUACUACAUCUUUAUUAUAAAAAAAUUCUACCAAUUUUUAAAAUAAAAAUACUCAAAUACACGGUAACGGUAAUACAGUCCUGUAAAAUAUGUUUGAGUAUUUUUUUUUUAAUAAAUCUGAUUGGGUACGCAAUCAGUUUUUUUUUGUCAGGGUCUGAUUUGGGUUUCAGAUUUUUUUUUUACCAAGGCCUAAUCAAAUGUUGAAAUCACAAACAUUGCAAGACCAGAAUCACACUCACGCUUAUCACUAAAGGUUAUGUACUCGUCCUAUGAAGUUCUACGUCUUCUACUUUCUUAAAAUGACAACAAAUACCAAAGCUUUAAAUUACCAGGAACGUCAGCGAGACGAGGUUCAAUGUAAUGCCCACUACAAACAACAACAGCAUCGUAAACCUCAUCACGGCGAACUCUCUUCUCCGUCUCCGUAGAUUCAACCCUCCACUUCCCGUUCCCACCCUCCUUCGCCGGAGAAACUCUCUCAACCGCCGUCUCGAACCGUAUCACCUCCUCGAUGGCAAACUCCUUAGCGAAGUCUUGCAGAUACGCAAGAACCUCUCCGUGGCUCGGAAACCUCCUCGGAUCGCCGGAUCGGACCACUAACGGGAACUCUAAGUAUCCCAUACACUCUCGAGGGAGGUUAGUUCGGAGAGAGGCGUAGACGCUCGAGUGAACAACUGUUCGGUUCGGGUCAACGCUUAACGGAUCCGUUUCGACGUGAUCUGUGUAGAUCCAUGUUCCUCCGACCUGUUUCUGCCUCUCGAAGACGACGACGGAGUGUCCUUCCCGACGAAGCUCUCUCGCCGCUACUAAACCGGCGGCUCCAGCUCCGAUAACAGCCACGUGGUGCGACCUGGUUGGUGAUAAGGAAGGUGCCAUUGUGUUUACUUGAUUCCCAAGACACGGAGAAUAUUAUUUAGGCCUAUGUGAUGAAUAUGUGGGUGGCCCCACACUGUCUUGAAUAAAUGGUUUAAACGCAGCGUUUUGUAUAGGAGAACGGAGUGAAUGUUUAUAUACACAUUAAACGCAGCGUUUUGUAUAUGAAUAUGUGGGUGGCCCCACACUGGUGUAAAAGUUUUGCACUUCUUACAGAAGUUUCCAACUUACAAGUGAAUGUUUAUAAGAAAAGGUAAAGACCCUUUUUGUUUUAAUGUGUAUAUAAAGAGAAAUCUUGGGAAGCUUGAGAAAUCAAGUGAUGAUCUUCCCAUUCGUCUCUGUACGUCUCUGGUGUUGUUCUCUUCCUCACACCAG
rnacentral:lncRNA from 1 species